GUGUCCCCCUCUGUGCACAGCUGCCUGCAUCAAAUUUCUGUUCUUGCUCUAUCACUAUCUUUUAUUUUAUAUUUCCAUCAUGGACUGUGCCUUUGCUAAUCUAGAUGCUGCUGGUUUUCUACAGAUCUGGCAACACUUUGAUGCUGAUGAUAAUGGUUACAUUGAAGGGAAAGAGUUGGAUGACUUUUUCCGUCACAUACUGGAAAAAUUAGGGCCAAAGGAUAAGAUUACAGGGGAGAGAGUACAGCAAAUAAAGAAGAGCUUUAUGUCUACUUAUGAUCUCACA